CUCGUGUCGUGAGAUCUUGGGUUAAGUCCCGCAACGAGCGCAACCCCUGUCCUAUGUUGCCAGCAUUUAGUUGGGGACUCAUAGGAGACUGCCGGUGAUAAACCGGAGGGAGGUGGGGACGACGUCAAGUCAUCAUGCCCCUUAUGUCCAGGGCUGCACGCAUGCUACAAUGGCAAGUACAACGAGUCGCAAUACCGCGAGGUGGAGCAAAUCUCUUAAAGCUUGUCUCAGUUCGGAUAGGAGUCUGCAACUCGACUCCUUGAAGUUGGAGUCGCUAGUAAUCGCAAAUCAGCAAAGUUGCGGUGAAUACGUUCUCGGGGUUUGUACACACCGCCCGUCAAGUCACGGAAGUCGGCAAUACCCGAAGCCAGUGGUCCAACCCUUUUAGGGAGGAAGCUGUCGAAGGUAGGGUCGGUAACUGGGACUAAGUCGUAACAAGGUAGCC
rnacentral:rRNA from 1 species